UUUGUUCAUGGUAUCAGAGUCUAGGAUCGUCUAAACUUAGGAACCUAUGGCAGAAUUUUUCGUCAACAGUUCGGGGUCAGUCAUGUCCGACACCCCACAAACCGAAACAAAGGUUAACUCCACAAUUGGUUCUCACGGCUUUGAGAACUCAUCUUUUCAACUCACAGUCGAAAAAUUGAAUGGAAACAAUUUUCGCGAAUGGGCCCACUCAAUUAAAUCGGUGAUUGAUGGUAAGGGGAAUUUAGGGUACCUUACUGGUGAGACGAAGAAACCAACGGAUCCUGCACUCGUGCAACGAUGGAAGUUAGAGAACUCCAUGGUCACCGCUUGGUUAGUAAAUUCUAUGAAACCAACAAUAGGAAAAAUUUAUCUUUUCCUUCCUACUGCAAAAGAGGCAUGGGACGCGCUGAGAGAAACGUACUUGGACUCAGAAAAUCCAUCACACAUGUUUGAAAUCAAGACCCGAUUGUGGGAAACGAAGCAGGGAAACAGAGAUGUUACCGAUUAUUUCAUGGAGAUGACGUCACUUUGGCAGGAACUUAACCUCAGCAGUGACGAAGAAUGGAGCAGUGGAGACGACAGUGUGCGGUAUAGGAAGAAGAGUGAAAAUGAAAGGGUGUAUGAAUUCUUGGCUGGAUUAAAUCGGGAUCUCGACGACAUUAGAGGCCGAAUUCUUGGCCAGCGACCACUGUCAUCCCUUCGUGAGGUCUUCUCUGAGGUUCGACGAGAAGAGGCACGUCGUCUGGUGAUGUUGGUAGAAGAAUAUCAUGGACCCAGUGAAGUGUCAGCCCUUGUGAUGAAAGGAAAAUGGAUGGAUAUUAGUGAAGCAUAUGGGCCAACAUUUAAAAGCCCAGUUACUCGAAAAGGGUCGGAUAUUAGUGGAGCAUAUAGGCCAACAUUUAAAAGCCCGAUUAUUGGAAAAAAUCAAAUUACUGGACGGACCAUUGGGGUACUAGGAGUCGGGGAUAGCAAAUCGAGACAAAGACCAAUCCUACUCAAAAUGGUGUAUCCAACCCCGAACAAUUGGAACAACUCUACCGGAUUUUUUCCGGUCUUCAAACUUCCGGUCAGUCCACUCCUAAUGAUCAUUCAAGCUCCCUAGCCACCAUUUAAAAGCCCAGUUAUUGGAAAAAAUCAAAUUACUGGACGGACCAUUGGGAAAGAUAUUGGGCUAGAAAAUAAUGGGUUUGAAGUGAACUUCUGGUCAGUCCACUCCUAAUGAUCAUUCAAGCUCCCUAACCCAUAAAGGUAAUUUUUUUAAAGCCUUGUGUACCACUUCAAAAUCAAAAACUCCCUGGAUAAUAGACUCCGAAGUAUCUGAUCAUAUGACGGAUGCUUAUCAUCUUUUCUCUUCAUAUUCAACUUGUGCUGGCAAUGUUAAAGUCAAAAUUACAGAUGGCUCUCUCUCAUCUGUUGCAGGAAAAGGGACUGUCAGGAUCUCUAACUCUAUAACACUUGAAUCUGUCUUACAUGUCCCAAAGUUAUCUUGUAAUCUGUUGUCAAUUAGCAAAUUAACUAAAGACUUCAAGUGCUCUGCUAAAUUUCUUCCAUCUCACUGUACUUUUCAAGACCUUUCAUCGGGGAAGACGAUUGGCAGUGCUAAAGAGCGUGAGGGGUUGUACUACUUUGAGGAGGCUGAUGUGAGUAAACGACACAAAAUUGCUAUUUGUGAGUCUGCGUCUAUUUCUAGGGAUAGUGAAAUUCUGUUAUGGCAUUAUAAACUAGGCCACCCGAAUUUUCAAUACUUGAAACGUGUAAUCCCUUCAAUAUUAUCGAAUAAAAUUUUAGCUGAUUUUUAGUGUGAAAAUUGCGAACUUGCAAAACAUCAGUGUACUUGUUACCUAAACUCUACAUACAAACCUACUAAACCCUUUACUAUGAUCCACAGUGACUUAUGGGGACCUUCUCGAACCCCGAAUCGAACAAACACUAGAUGGUUUAUCACGUUCAUAGAUGACCAUACCAGAG
rnacentral:lncRNA from 1 species